CUCUGAGCCACCGCUCAGCAAGAGGCCUGGGGGUUUACAGGAUCAGAGCUGCUUACCUGCUGAUCCAGAUUAAAAGCCGGGGCUAGAGCCAAAAUGAACUGUGAUUCUUACCACGCAACAACAGGGAGAGCUUGUUCCUGCACUUCCUUUGCUGACUACUCUGGGGAUACAAGUGGAGGCUGUGCCAGACCUCCUGCAUCUGACGGCCAUUCUGGAACAAUUGGAGUGAAAGACACCCUCUCACAUCAUCCCUUGGCACACACUCUUGGAAGAAGAAAAAAGCCACGGAGUAGAAACUUUGAUGAAUAAAUGAGCAGUACUCCUCCUCACAACCUCUCCUUUCUCUGAAUUCAGUGGGGAUUUUGAAGC